GGGAAGGUAGCUCAGUGGUAGAGUACUUGCCUUGCAUGCAUGAGGUUCUGGGUUCGAUUCCUCAGCACCA
rnacentral:tRNA from 1 species